UGGCGGGGGACAACCUUCCGAAAGGAUGGCUAAUACCGCAUAAGUCGUCGAGGUCUAUGACUUUGACGGGAAAGGGGGGUCGCAAGAUCUCUCACCAUGAGACGAGCCCGCGUCCCAUCAUGCUAGUUGGUGAGGUAAUGGCUCACCAAGGCUUAGACGGGUAGCUGGUCUGAGAGGAUGAUCAGCCACACUGGAACUGCGACACGGUCCAG
rnacentral:rRNA from 1 species